CAUAUUUUUUUAUCAUUUGCCUCUUUAGGAGGCUGUAUUCAGUAUCUGCGCAGGGCAUGAGUUGAGAUUUAUAGGAUGCCUAGUGGUGACAAACGAAUUGUUUUAUGCUUAUAUGUAAGUUAUUAAAUUCCUUUUUAUUGUACUCUGGAAGCGCACUACAUUUUUUUCUGUAUAUUUUUCUCUUGAGUUACAUAUUCCAACCUACUGAUGGGAGUGUGAAGAUGAGAAAAUGCAGUGGAUAUUGGAGGAGAGAUUUUACUUAAG